UACAGAGGUGGCAAGCGUUGUUCGGAAUUACUGGGCGUAAAGGGCGCGUAGGCGGCCAUCUAAGUCAGACGUGAAAUCCCCCGGCUUAACCUGGGAACUGCGUCUGAUACUGGACGGCUCGAGUAUGGGAGAGGGAUGUAGAAUUCCAGGUGUAGCGGUGAAAUGCGUAGAUAUCGGGAGGAACACCAGUGGCGAAGGCGAGUCCCUGGACAAUUCCUGACGCUCAGGCACGAAAGCUAGGGGAGCAAACAGG
rnacentral:rRNA from 1 species